CUUCCGUAGGUGAACCUGCGGAAGGAUCAUUACCGAGUGCGGGCCCCUCGGGGCCCAACCUCCCACCCCGUGUUGCCCGAACCUAUGUUGCCUCGGCGGGCCCCGCGCCCGCCGACGGCCCCCCUGAACGCUGUCUGAAGUUGCAGUCUGAGACCUAUAACGAAAUUAGUUAAAACUUUCAACAACGGAUCUCUUGGUUCCGGCAUCGAUGAAGAACGCAGCGAAAUGCGAUAACUAAUGUGAAUUGCAGAAUUCAGUGAAUCAUCGAGUCUUUGAACGCACAUUGCGCCCUCUGGUAUUCCGGAGGGCAUGCCUGUCCGAGCGUCAUUGCUGCCCUCAAGCCCGGCUUGUGUGUUGGGCCCCGUCCCCCCCGCCGGGGGGACGGGCCCGAAAGGCAGCGGCGGCACCGCGUCCGGUCCUCGAGCGUAUGGGGCUUCGUCACCCGCUCUAGUAGGCCCGGCCGGCGCCAGCCGACCCCCAACCUUUAAUUAUCUCAGGUUGACCUCGGAUCAGGUAGGGAUACCCGCUGAACUUAAGCAUAUCAAUAAG
rnacentral:rRNA from 1 species